CAUAGAAUGGCCUGGGUUGAAAAGGACCACAAUGAUCAUCGAGUUUCAACCCCCCUGCUAUGUGCAGGGUCGCCAACCACCAGACCAGGCUGCCCAGAGCCACAUCCAGCCUGGCCUUGAAUGCCUCCAGGGAUGGGGCAUCCACAACCUCCUUGGGCAACCUGUUCCAGUGUGUCACCACCCUCUGGGUCAAUACUGCAGAUUUCUUCCUUUUGCUGAAUGUUUUCCUGUGGCUAUACCAACAUUUCCAAGAUUCCUGCAAGAGAGGAGCCAAGAGCUGUAACGUUCGUAGUGCCUGACAACAUUAAUCAUCGAUCCUAUUGCGAACUGCUUCUGGGUGGGAUGUUUCUGGGUUUGUAACUACAUAUGGCUCCUAUCAUUUGCGGCUUCC
ensembl:lncRNA